rnacentral:rRNA from 1 species
AUGGCGACCGGCGCACGGGUGAGUAACACGUAUCCAACCUGCCGAUAACUCGGGGAUAGCCUUUCGAAAGAAAGAUUAAUACCCGAUGGUAUAAUCAGACCGCAUGGUUUGAUUAUUAAAGAAUUUCGGUUAUCGAUGGGGAUGCGUUCCAUUAGGCAGUUGGUGAGAUAACGGCUCACCAAACCUUCGAUGGAUAGGGGUUCUGAGAGGAAGGUCCCCCACAUUGGAACUGAGACACGGUCCAA